UGAUUAUUUUCAAGAACAAUUUUGAAGUAUGUGUUCCUGUGACCACAAUUUUAUCCAUUGGAAUCAAUGGCUUCCAUUCAUCCUGAUUCCUUCAGUGGUACAAAUGGACAAAUAAUUGCAUGAAAAAAGUUGUGAAAAUGGAAAGGCAUUAAUAUUUCAAAAGGACCCUUAUUCUUCUGUUUCAUGAAAGGAUCCUGCCCCUGUGUUGGCUACAUAAUUUUCUUAGCAGUCUGGAGGAAAAUUGAAACCUUGGCAUUUGUCUGACUUUCAGGGUUGCAGAGCUUUACCUGGAAAUCCCUUGACAGGCAUGGUGAUUGAGCUCAAGGAACUAUCCUGCUGUAGCAAUAAAAAUAUCAAUAAAAAUGCACAGAGUUAUUUUU